rnacentral:rRNA from 1 species
GACGAACGCUGGCGGCGUGCUUAACACAUGCAAGUCGAACGGAAAGGCCCUGCUUUUGUGGGGCGCUCGAGAGGCGAACGGGUGAGUAACACGUGAGUAACAUGCACUUGUAUUUGGGAUAACUUCAGGAAAAUGGGGCUAAUAUCGGAUAGGAGCUCCUGCUGCAUGGUGGGGGUUGGAAAGUUUCGGCGGUUGGGGAUGGACUCGCGGCUUAUCAGCUUGUUGGGGGGGUAGUGGCUUACCAAGGCUAUGACGGGUAGCCGGCCUGAGAGGGUGACCGGCCACAUUGGGACUGAGAUACGGCCCAGACUCCUACGGGAGGCAGCAGUGGGGAAUAUUGCACAAUGGGCGGAAGCCUGAUGCAGCAACGCCGCGUGCGGGAUGACGGCCUUCGGGUUGUAAACCGCUUUCGCCUGUGACGAAGCGUGAGUGACGGUAAUGGGUAAAGAAGCACCGGCUAACUACGUG